rnacentral:sRNA from 1 species
CCAUAGCCCCGAUUGCAGUGGAAAUCCUUUUUUGCGUAUGCUCAAGUUCUACUUUAUGCAAAUCGUGAUGCAAAAAAGAUUGCAACGAAAAGCGGGAAAUAGC